rnacentral:rRNA from 1 species
UGGGGAAUAUUGCACAAUGGGCGCAAGUCCGAUGCAGCCAUGCCGCGUGUAUGAAGAAGGCCUUCGGGUUGUAAAGUACUUUCAGCGGGGAGGAAGGGAGUAAAGUUAAUACCUUUGCUCAUUAACGUUACCCGCAGAAGAAGCACCGGCUAACUCCGUGCCAGCAGCCGCGGUAAUACGGAGGGUGCAAGCGUUAAUCGGAAUUACUGGGCGUAAAGCGCACGCAGGCGGUUUGUUAAGUCAGAUGUGAAAUCCCCGGGCUCAACCUGGGAACUGCAUCUGAUACUGGCAAGCUGGAGUCUCGUAGAGGGGGGUAGAAUUCCAGGUGUAGCGGUGAAAUGCGUAGAGAUCUGGAGGAAUACCGGUGGCGGAGGCGGCCCCCUGGACGAAGGCUGACGCUCAGGUGCGAAAGCGUGGGGAGCAAACAGG